GGAGAUCUUCAUUAUAAUCAAAGUGGUGUACAAAAUAUGUCUCUUUCAUGAAACCCUAAUUCCAAAAAAUACAUCCAUACUCUCUCUCUCAUUUUCCGCAUUAAACCAAUGGAAUAAAGAAUAUAUUUAUAAUAGUGGCUAAAUCCUAAUGCAACUAUAAAUACAAACCCACUAAAAUUAGGAAUAUCUCAAUAAAAUUAGAAAUAAUCUAAACUUAACUUAAUGGGACAAUCUCUCAAGUGGCAAAAGGCUUGGUGGUUGGUACACGAGACCCAAGUUCAAAUUCUAGUUGAUUCACAUUUCUAGCUAAAUUUAUUUCUAAAUGAAAUACACGAAGCGGGUAGUGUGCUACCUAUCUCUCAUAAAAAAAAAAAACUUAAUGGGACAAUCAAAACAGAAUAGAGUUAGAAAAUCUUGCGGUACUAGAAUUCGAGACAUAUUUAACAUGAUUUAAACAUAAUUUAAACAUAAU
rnacentral:lncRNA from 1 species